rnacentral:rRNA from 1 species
UACGUAUGUCGCGAGCGUUAUCCGGAAUUAUUGGGCAUAAAGGGCAUCUAGGCGGCCGGAUAAGUCUGGGGUGAAAACUUGCGGCUCAACCGCAAGCCUGCCCUGGAAACUAUGCGGCUAGAGUACUGGAGAGGUGGACGGAACUGCACGAGUAGAGGUGAAAUUCGUAGAUAUGUGCAGGAAUGCCGAUGAUGAAGAUAGUUCACUGGACGGUAACUGACGCUGAAGUG